CCUACGGGUGGCAGCAGUGGGGAAUAUUGCACAAUGGGGGAAACCCUGAUGCAGCGACGCCGCGUGAGCGAUGAAGUAUCUCGGUAUGGAAAGCUCUAUCAGCAGGGAAGAAAAUGACGGUACCUGACUAAGAUGCCCCGGCUAACUCCGUGCCAGCAGCCGCGGUAAUACGUAGGGGGCAAGCGUUAUCCGGAUUUACUGGGUGUAAAGGGAGCGUAGACGGUCCUGCAAGCCAGAUGUGAAAUGCCGGGGCUCAACCCCGGGUCUGCAUGUGGAACUGUAAGGCUAGAGUGUCGGAGAGGCAGGCGGAAUUCCUAGUGGAGCGGUGAAAUGCUUAGAUAUGAGGAGGAACACCAGUGGCGAAGGCGGCCUGCUGGACGAUGACUGACGUUGAGGCUCGAAAGCGUGGGUAGCAAACAGGAUUAGAUACCCUAGUAGUC
rnacentral:rRNA from 1 species